rnacentral:lncRNA from 10 species
CCGAGGGCUGUGGCAGGCAAGGUGAAUGUGAUCCCUAGACCUUUAACACCUGGCUCUGAGUCCUGCCCGCACCUUCCAGGCACCACUCACUCCAAUGGCUCCACUCCUGGGCUCCUUGAUACAGACAAGGGCUCUGAUUGGAAACCCUCUGACUCCUCCGUGCUUCUUGGCCUUUGACAAGUUUAUCACAGAUGGGAGAAGGACAUUCUGUUUCUUCAGUGUUAUGGGCUGACUCACUUCCCUCUUCUCUGCAAUAAGCACAAAGGCCAAAGUCAGUCCACUCUACCAAGAAACAGCAAAAUGGCUCUGAGAGUGGUGUCCUUCCGGAUUGGUGGUAAGGAAAAUAUGUCUAUGAAUAUUCAUUCACUGCUCAUUUAGGAGUGUUCUGUGUAAAGACUCUUUGAAAGCUGAUGAGAAUGGGCAUAAAAGGUUUGAUUAAUUCCUGAGUCAGCUGGCCCCUACCCCAAAACACAUGCAAUGAUUGUCACAGAGAGCUGGUUUACAAAGAAAAUGUUUCUGCAGAUGUGUGGGCUUGGUACUGCCACCGCCACCCACUCUCCAACAAGAAUAAAACAGACUCUGGGAUUGGGCUGGGCCCUUUAGGGUUAAGCCACAGAUCCUAAAGUCAAAUUAAAUAUCAGCUCCUGAAGGGAACAUCCCCAAUGCUCACAUUUUCCAAGAUGUCAGGUCUGAGUAUAGGGGACCUCUAUCUGAAAUUCCUCCCCUUUCCUCUCUGUGUAUUCAGGUCCCAUCUAUCCUUACAGACAUCGCAGGCUCUACUGGCCCUGGUGAAGUCUCGCCUGACUGCUUCAUCUCACAGGGAUAUUUCAUUCUUUUGCAAUCAAUGAACUCUUGUAGGUCCCUCCCUCUAGAGAGUUAAUUACACACACUUGCCACCCUGUCACGUCUCCCUGCAUUGUUGGCUUACUAUAAUAAUGAUCUUCAUUAUCAUUACCUGUUUAUAUGUUCUUUCUCUGCUCAAGCGAUCCCACAUUCAUUUUCCCUCAACAACAUAUACUGAUCACGCAACAUGUACCCUGACUCACUGAUGAGGAAUCAAAUAUAAAGAUAAUAAUAAUGAUGAUGUAAUAACCCCAAAACAAUAUUUACAGAGUACUAUACCCCAGCUUCUGGGCUACACACUAUCUUAUUUAAUUCUCACAACAACCAUUUGAAGAAAGGUUUGUCAUUAUCCCCAUUUUACAGAUGAGGAAACAGGCUCAGAAAAUCUAAUAAAUCUGUCUGAGGCUACACAGCUAGCGUUUGAUGAAGUGAUUGGUAAAUCCUCAAGAAACAAGGUUAGUGGGGAAGAAAAACAAAUGGCCCUGCAAUUUCAGCCCGUGGAAGAGCUUCUUUGGUCAAGGGCAGAGUGCCGUGGGAGCACAGAACUAUCAGAACUGUGGACAGGUGUCAGGGCAGGCUCUAAGAGGAAGGCAGAGCCUGAGCCGAGUCACAGAGGAUCAACAGGAGACGGCAAAAAAGGAGGAUCCACUUCCUAGGAACAAAGGUCUGGGUGUCUCCAGGGGCCAAGUUGCCUCAUCUGUUCGCCUAACUCCUCACCUUCAGCUCCACCCUCCAGGGGACCCCUUCUAAAUCAAGCCUGUUCUUCCGGGAGGGAAACUGGGGUGUCUACCCUGAGCCCUAGGUUUGGUGGUGGCAGUGGGUGCCCCAGGAUGUUGCAGUUAUUUUUGAUGGCUAUUAAUUUACAUUACAAGCAUACAUACUUUCAUAACAUCUGGCGCAUGCUGGCUGCAUUGCUCUGGGCUCUGCAGCCCUCAAGGAUUUGCCCUCCCUGGAAUUCUUCCUGCAGUUUCCCCACAGUUCCCCUUAGGAGUCUAAACUUUUGUGGAGCUUUAUUGAUCCUGGCCCCAGACCAUUCAGAAAAGGCACUAAUUCAAUUACAGCUGCGUGAAAUCCUUCAGAGGCAGCCUAAGGAGACUGAUUUUGAUUCUCCUUUUCUGUGUCAGUGGUUUCCAAUAGACAGUGUUUGAGAGGCAGAGCAUAUUCUCUUUAAAUUAUAAAUAACCAGAACAGGGAAAAGAGGUGGCACUGGGAACGGGGCAGGAAUGGGUAAAUUUAAAAAAAAGCUGCAGCAAAAUGAUAAAACCCUGUGGCUUCAAAAAUGUUUUAUGAGUUUCUAUAAGGCAAUAACACAGAAGGGAAGGUCCUUUUUAAAAUCUAUUUUCUGAGAUGGUCUGUGCUGUAUACACUGUAUACACAUUGUGGCUAAAUCUCUGAAUUCCUAAUACAGAGAUUGAAACUAAAAUCAAGAAAGCAGAGGGGAUUCCACCAAAAUCAUGCAGACCAUCAGGGGUCAGUUUGGAAACCACCAAUCCUGUUUAGAUAUACAACCAACUGCUUCCCCCAUUCAUGGUGUCAGGC